AGUGAACGCUGGCGGUAGGCCUAACACAUGCAAGUCGAACGGCAGCACAGUAAGAGCUUGCUCUUACGGGUGGCGAGUGGCGGACGGGUGAGGAAUACAUCGGAAUCUACUUUCUCGUGGGGGAUAACGUAGGGAAACUUACGCUAAUACCGCAUACGACCUACGGGUGAAAGCAGGGGAUCUUCGGACCUUGCGCGUUUGAAUGAGCCGAUGUCGGAUUAGCUAGUUGGCGGGGUAAAGGCCCACCAAGGCGACGAUCCGUAGCUGGUCUGAGAGGAUGAUCAGCCACACUGGAACUGAGACACGGUCCAGACUCCUACGGGAGGCAGCAGUGGGGAAUAUUGGACAAUGGGCGCAAGCCUGAUCCAGCCAUACCGCGUGGGUGAAGAAGGCCUUCGGGUUGUAAAGCCCUUUUGUUGGGAAAGAAAAGCAGCAGGUUAAUACCCCGCUGUUCUGACGGUACCCAAAGAAUAAGCACCGGCUAACUUCGUG
rnacentral:rRNA from 1 species